rnacentral:rRNA from 1 species
CUUCCAGACUCCUACGGGAGGCAGCAGUGGGGAAUAUUGCACAAUGGGGGGAACCCUGAUGCAGCGACGCCGCGUGGGUGAAGGAGUACUUCGGUACGUAAAGCCCUAUCAGCAGGAAAGAAAAUGACGGUACCUGACUAAGAAGCCCCGGCUAACUACGUGCCAGCAGCCGCGGUAAUACGUAGGGGGCAAGCGUUAUCCGGAUUUACUGGGUGUAAAGGGAGCGUAGACGGCAGUGCAAGUCCGGAGUGAAAGGCCGGGGCCCAACCCCGGGACUGCAUUGGAAACUGCGAGGCUGGAGUGUCGGAGAGGCAGGCGGAAUUCCUAGUGUAGCGGUGAAAUGCGUAGAUAUUAGGAAGAACACCAGUGGCGAAGGCGGCUUACUGGACAGUAACUGACGUUGAGGCUCGAAAGCGUGGGGAGCAAACAGGAUUAGAUACCCCCGUAGG